UACAGAGGCCCCAAGCGUUACUGAGAAUCACUGGGUUUAAAGGGUGCGUAGGUGGUCCGUUAGGUUCGUUGUGAAAGCCCUGGGCUCAACCCAGGAACUGCUUCGAAUACUGGCGGACUUGAGGCUAGUAGAGGUCACUGGAACUGACGGUGGAGCGGUGAAAUGCGUAGAUAUCGUCAGGAACGCCAAUGGUGAAGACAGGUGACUGGGCUAGUUCUGACACUGAGGCACGAAAGCGUGGGGAUCAAACGGG
rnacentral:rRNA from 1 species